rnacentral:lncRNA from 1 species
AAAAAAAUGCUUACAUAUAUACUCUUGUUAAAUUGGUUUAAUUCUUAUUUUAGUCACUCUAUAACGUUAAAAAUUUGAGAUUUAGUCCUAUUUUAUUGUGCCAUAAUUUGAUUCCAUUAUUUUUGUGAUGAUAUUAGUAUGUCAAAAUAGAUCAGUUGCUUUUAUUAAAGAAUUGACUCAUUUUUUGGUCAUAUAGUCCAGGUCACAUUGAAAUCAAGUCAAUUAGGUUGAACCAAUAAUGAAAUUACAUGUUACUCGAAUGUUAGUUAGUUUUAAUAGAAAUCUAUGUCAUUAUUUCAAUGUAACAAUUAACGAUGUCAUCAAUUUGGGCCUACAAUAAAAGUAGAGAGACUAAAUUUUGCCAAAUUGAAAUAGAGGAAUAAAAUUCCAAUUUCAGCUUGGUAGAGGGAUUAAAACCAUAAUUAGACUUAAAUAUGCUUUGAGAAAAUAUACAUAUAAAGGUCUCGAUUGUUUGUGCAGGUGGAUAUCCCCUCUUAUUUUGUUGGUUUUAUCUUGACGAACUGUAAACUUCCAAAAGAAAAAUAUGGAGCUCUUAUAUUAGCAGAUCCUUCACCUAUCCUAUUUUAUCCCAUUAGUAGCACUGAAAUUCGUUGCUUGGUGGAUGUUCCUAGUCAAAAUCUACCCUCUGUUUCCAAUGGUGAAAUGGCUCAUUACUUGAAAACUUUGGUGGCUCCCAAGGUAUAUUUAUAUCUUUCUUUAAUCGACUCAUUAAUGGAAUUUGGUUGAACUUAUGGACUAACUAUAUGAUCUAUGAUACAUUUCAGGUUCUUCCUGAAUUAUACAAUUCCUUUAUAUCUGCAGUAGAGAAGAAGGGCAACAUAAGAAUAAUGCCGAACAAAAUCAUGGCUGGUGCUCCACACCUCACUCCUGGUGCUUUUUUGAUUGGCGAUGCAUUCAAUAUGCGGCAUGCUAUAACUGCAGGGGGAAUGACUGUUGCUUUAUCUGAUGUUGUGAUACUUAGGGAUCUUCUAAGACCCUUGCAUGAUCUAUCUGAUGCAUCCGCCAUUUGCAAAUAUCUUGAAUCCUUUUAUACUCUGAGGAAGGUAUUGUAAUUCAUGUCCUAUAUGAAUUUUUUAAAGUGAAUAAAAAGGAACAAAAAAUGGCAUAAAUUUUCACUUUUAACUGCAUGCAGCCAAUGUCAUCUACGAUAAAUACACUAGCCAAUGUUUUACAUAAGGUAUUUAGUGCCCCGUCGGAUCCUGCAAUGGAGAAUCUGCAACAAACAUUGUUGGGGUAUUUGAAACUUGGAGGGGUUUUUUCAUCUGGAGUAUCAGCUCUGCUCUCUGGUUUAUGCCCUCGUCCAUUAAGCUUAGUAUUUCAUUUCAUUGUCAUGGCAAUGUAUGGUGUUGGCCAGUUGUUACUUCCAUUUCCUUCUCCCAAACGCUUGUUGGAUGGGGCUAAACUCCUUUGGGUCAGUAUCUCUAGCAAUGAUCAUUUCUCAUAUAUCAUGAUCACUAACACGAUAAAAAUAUAUAAUAAUUUUAAAAUGACGUUAUUUUUUUUUGUUUUUUCAGGUUGCAUCAAGUGUUUUUCUCCCCAUUAUACACUCUGAAGGAGUCAGACAAAUGUUUUUCCCUCUAACUGUGCCAGCAUAUUAUAGAACUCCCCCUAAGGGAAAAAAAAUCUGAGAGGAAACUCCAUGCAUCUGUAGUGAACAAUUCUAUAUAUAUUCGCAAUAGAUUUUCAUAUUUGUUUCUAGUUAGCAUUCUCAAGUAGGCUUAAUGGUCGUUUGUACUCAUAUUAUUUUUAUGUGUCUUGUUUAAAAUUCUAAAUAAAGGUUUUGUAAUUCUUGUGUUGGUGUUAUUUUUAUGUAUCUUGUUUGAAAUAUUGAACUAACGCGUUAGUAUUUUUAAGUAGGUUCAAUAAGCAUCCUAUUCGUAUUGUUUUUGUUAAUAUAACUUAUUCAUGAGUUCAUUAAUAUUAAUAAGUGUGUAGCGAUCUCAUGAGUUUGGAAAGCUCUUUGGGAGAGAUUUUGCACAACUUGAGUGUAUAUCCUAAAGCAUUUGUUGCGAUGGACAGGAUUUUUCUAGAUAGAGCUUUGAUAUAGGUGACUUGAGUGGAAAUAUCUAUCCAAAUUUUGCACAAAUUUACGACCGAGUGAAUAAAGUUGAGUUUAUGAUGCAUUUUCGAUAAAAUAUCUUUUUAGCUAACUGGGCGGCAAAAGUGACAUUAAAUAUUCCAGAAAAGAUCUUUGAUGCACUCCCCAAGCGUAUAGCAGAACUUCCCCCGGCAAUACCAAAAAAUAAGUUAAUUUGUCUUUUCCCUUGGUUUUUUCUCCAAUAAUAAUUUAUCCCUUUUUGUUUCUGCAUUACGUGUGGUGGAGGUACAUCUAUCAUAUUUUUGUCAACUUUUUUGUUUUUCCAUUACGUGAGGUGGACAGCGGCCAAACUAUGGGACUCCCUCACUUAAAAUAGAAAAUUUUUUAUUUAAAUUUUUAAAAUUUUUAAAAUUUUAAAUUAAAAAAAUAAAAUUGUACUUUGAUGUUUUUUAAAGUUGAUAAAAAUUUAAUUUAAUUUUUUAAAAAAUUAUAAAGAUAUAGGCUAUUAAAAUAGUAAAAUUAUAUUUUUAUUGUCAUAAAAAUUACAAUUUAAUUUCGACCUUCUAAAUUUUUUUGUGACAUUCGGGACUAAACUGAAUAAAUUAAAAGUUGUUAAGAAAUUAUGCCAUAGACUAAAAAUACAAGGUCUCUAACAUGAAAGUAUAUGAAAUCAGAUUUUGAUUCAAUACUAAAGAUUGAAAAGUAUGAGCAUUUCUAAUAUAGGGAAAAAUGAAGAAAAUACAAAAUAUAUUUGAUUAUAUGUUUAUCAUGUGGUUGAGUGAAAACUAAAGCUAUUUUAUAAUUGAAUUAUCGAACGUAGCUAAAAACAAUGUCAGGCCGUCCUAAGAUAAAGGAAAUGCGAGAAUCGAAGAAAGUAAUUAAUACGAACUAAUACGAUUUGUACAUUCAUGAUUCAAAUUCAAUAUUUGCAAACUAAAUUGUCUCAUGGUUUGGUUUGUAUUUCAAUACUAUUGAACAUAUGUUUGAUCUUUAGAUUUGUAAUUUGUAAAUGUUUAAUUUAAAUAUGAUAUAAAAGUAUGAAAAGUAAAAAAAAACGUGAUGAUAAUAAUAUUAAUUAUAAUUUAAAAGAAGAGAUAUUUUAUUAUUUUUAUUUCACUUUAAAAUAGAUCUGAUUUUACGAAAAUUUGAAACAAUAGAGAACUAACCUAGUAAAAAGUAUACUUUAUACUUUAUAAUUAAUAUUGUUUGAUAGAAAGCUGUUCUAAAAGUAUCACAAAAAUUAUCGAAUUAUUUAUUUUAUAUAAAGAAAAACUUAUAACCACUAAAUACAUAUUAAUAAAGACCUAAUAUUUAAUCAAUAUGAUAAAAAUAUCGAAUCAAUUUAAAAUUGUACAUGCAUAAGAACCACAUUAUUUAUAUCGAUAUAUUCAUUUUAUAAUUAUAUAAAAGUUUGAGUAAAACUAUUAGCUUUACAGGUGGAUCUCAGAGGCGAAGUAAGAAAAUUUUUAAGUGAAAUUAAAUUAUAUAUUUUUAAGAUAAUAAAAAUAUAAUUUUACUAUUUUUAAUAGUCCAUACUUUUAUAAAUUUUAAAAAGUUAAAUUAAAAUUUUAUCCUUUAUCAAAUAUUAUUAAUUUAAAAUUUUAUAAAAUAUCUGGCGGAGUACUGUGAUUUUAGUUGCCACUUGUGCAAAGGGAUAAGCCACUGACAUGACUGCAUCUGCAUCCAUGAAAGAAGCCAAAUUGAAUUGUAACUUACUGCUCCUUUACGCUAAGAAUUUUUUCAGAGACGUGGAAGUACAAAAACAGGCGGUGCUUCUUCAUUCUUAUAUAAAUGCUGUUCUUCUUGAUUAUUCUUUCCAUACAUUGUUCUUAAAACAAUGGCUGGGCAGUUUAUAGUUGGAGUUGCAAAUGUUAUAGCCUUGCUUUUGGGGUUUGUUUUCUUAGUGAGAUUUUGGGGGCUGAGCAAGCUGAAAAGAGCAGCUUCAAUGGGGUUCCCAAAGGAAAACUGUGUAAACAAAAAUGGAAAUGGUGAGGGUGAGAGUGAGAGUGAGGGUGUUGGGACUGCAGAAAUUAUCAUAGUCGGCGCUGGUGUUGCCGGUGCUGCUCUUGCCUAUUCUCUUGGAAAGGUCCCAAUUUUUUAUCACCUUUAUUUUAAUUUUAUAGAAUUAAGUUUCGACUUGGGAUAAUAAUAGUAUUGAACUCUAAAAGGAUCUUGGAGCCACAUACAUGACUCUCCCAACUUUUCCAAUAUUUUUGUAGUGAAAGAGAUUGUUUUAAUUUUUUAUUUAAAUUUUAUAUUUAGUGAUUUUAUUUCCUUAAAGGAACAUUGUGCACAGUUUUAAGUAGGUCUGCUCAUGACCUGGUCCAGCUCAAAAGCCCGCUCGAAAAAUAGAAGAUUUAGGUAAAAAUAUAGGCUCAAAAAAUGAGCUUGGGAGAAAAAUGCCCGUUUAGAAAACGGGCUAAGCCUCAAGUAAGGUUUUUCAGCCCGGCCCAAAUAUGUAGUUUUUUUUUUUGCAAUUUUUUUCUAUUUUCUUGUUGUUGUUUUUCACUAUUUUGCUACUAUUUCACUAUUAUGUCGUUAUUAUUUUGUUGUUAUUGUAUAACUAUUGUUUUAUUGUUAAUUUUGUUAUUAUUUUAGAGGUAUUUGCUUGUUAAGUUGCACUUAUCUUAGUGUUAUUUAAGUAUACAUUUUUUAAAAAAUUUAUUUUUAAUUUGUUGGAAAACAAUUAUUUUAAUAUUUUUAAUAUUUUUUUAAAAAAAAAUUAAUAUAAGCGGAGCCCGGGUUUUAACAUUUUAUUCGGGCUAGGCUUGAGCAAAAUUUAAGGACCAUUUUUUGGGCUCGGGCCAAGCAAACGAGUCUAAAAUUUUGGUUUUGCCCGGCCAAACCCAUAAACACCUCUAGUUUUAAGUAAUCAUAUGUUAUUUCUUCUUAAUUGUUCUUUUUAAAUAUGUAUUUAUGCCAUCUUUUUUUAACUUACAUAUAUGUCUUUUUUGUAGUAUAACUAACAUACAUAAUAUACGUUACAAGAAAUAAAUAUAAAAGAUACUUUAAUUAUGACAAAUAAAAAAAUUGAAAUUCCUUCUUAAUUAUAUUUAAUGUAGAAAUACAUAUAAAUAUCUAAGAUUUUAAAAAAUAUUGUAGAGGUGGGGAAUGUCGCAUUUAGCUUCAAUUAACAUCAGUUUCUCUUCAAGUUACCAUAAGAUCCUUGAAAAAUGGAGUUAACUAUGAUGUUAUACCUAAUAAUACUUCUAUAAUUAUAUAUUGUAGGAUGGACGUCGAGUGCGAGUGAUAGAAAGGGACUUAAAUGCACCUAAUAGAAUUGCUGGUGAAGCUCUAAUGCCUGGAGGCUACCUCAAGUUAAUUGAAUUAGGCCUUGAAGGUAAAUAAGAAUAGUGGAUGCAAUAUAAUAUUUCAAUGUCAUUUCUUUAAAUAUAUUACUUUGAAUGUUGGCACUACAGAUUGCUUAGAUGAGAUUGAUGCUCAACGAUUUUUGGGUUAUACUCUAAACAAGGAUGGAAAGGAGGCUCUCAUAUCUUUUCCAUUGGAAAAGAUUCAUUCUCAUGUUGUAGGAAGAACUUUCCAUAACGGUCGUUUCGUUCAAACAUUACGAAAGAAAGUAGCAUCUCUUCACAAGUACUUUCUCUCCUUCCUCCCAAUCAUUCUUUAAUUUCAAUUUAAUAUAUUAGAACAUUUAUCUUAAUGGAUUAAAUGACUUGUAGUUGUUUUGAUCCAUUACUUUUGUUUAUGAGCUCGUCCAGUUGAUUUUGGUUUGAUCAAUUUAGAUAAAAUCACUCAAGUUUUAAAACUAACACAUCAUUUUGGUUUUUAUCAUUUUAGGCUAAGGAUUAUUUUGGGUUCAGAUCAUUUCCAGUUUAUAUUUGAGUCAUUUUGCUCCGGGUUUCAAAUUUUUGAGUGUGGUCAUUACAAUUUCAUAUCGUUUUGGUUCUAGUCACUUCGAGUUUGGAUCCUUCCAAGUUAAUUUUUGAAUCAUUUUGGGUCUGAGUUGUUUUAAGUUCAAGUUAGUUUGGGUUAGAGUAAAAUUUUGUUCAAGUUGGAGGGACUCAAAUUGUGGACCCUUUAUAGUCAAAUCAAAUUGGAUCAAAUUUAAGUUCCAAUUGGUCGAGUCAAAUUUUCAAAUUCAAGUCAAAAUUGACAUGUCUGGUUCUGUUACUAUUACUUUGUUUCAACUUGUUUUAAUCAGAAAUUAUGCCUCUCUUUACAAGGUCCAAAUUCAUGUUUUUAUGAUAUGAUAACGCAGUGUAAGUUUAGAACAAGGGACAGUAAUAUCUCUACUUGAAGAAAAUGGUAUUGUCAAAGGAGUGCACUAUAAAGAUAAGAGUGGUCAAUUGCUAACAGCUUACGCUCCUCUCACCAUUGUCUGUGAUGGUUGUUUCUCGAAUUUGAGACACUCUCUCUGCCAUUCUAAGGUGAAAAAAAUGUUUACGUAUUCUUGUUAAAUUAGUUUAAUUCUUAUUUUAGUCACUCUAUAACGUUAAAAAUUUGAGAUUUAGUCCUAUUUUAUUGUGCCAUAAUUUGAUUCCAUUAUUUUUGUGAAGAUAUUAGUAUGUCAAAAUAGAUCAGUUGCUUUUAUUAAAGAAUUGACUUAUUUUUUGGUCAUAUAGUCAAGGUCACAUUGAAAUCAAGUCAAUUAGGUUGAACCAAUAAUGAAAUUUCAUGUUACUCGAAUGUUAGUUAGUUUUAACAAAAAUCUAUGUCAUUAUUUCAAUGGUAACAAUUAACGGUGUCAUCAAUUUGGAUCUACAAUAAAGAUAGAGAGACUAAAUUUUGCCAAAUUGAAAUAGAGGAAUAAAAUUCCAAUUUCAGCUUGGUAGAAGGACUAAAACCAUAAUUAGACUUAAAUUAUAUGCUUUGAGAAAAUAUGCAUAUAAAGGUCUCGAUUAUUUGUGCAGGUGGAUAUACCUUCUUAUUUUGUUGGUUUUAUCUUGACGAACUGUAAACUUCCAAAAGAAAAAUAUGGAGUUUUUAUAUUAGCAGAUCCUUCACCUAUCCUAUUUUAUCCCAUUAGUAGCACAGAAAUUCGUUGCUUGGUGGAUGUUCCUAGUCAAAAUCUACCCUCUGUUUCCAAUGGUGAAAUGGCUCAUUACUUGAAAACUUUGGUGGCUCCCAAGGUAUAUUUAUAUCUUUCUUUA